CCCUUAGAUGUUCUGGGCUGCACGCGCGCUACACUGAUGCGCUCAACGAGUUUUAACCUUGCCUGGAAAGGUUGGGUAAUCUUUUUAAAACGCAUCGUGAUGGGGAUAGAUUAUUGCAAUUAUUAAUCUUCAACGAGGAAUUCCUAGUAAGCGCGAGUCAUCAGCUCGUGCUGAUUACGUCCCUGCCCUUUGUACACACCGCCCGUCGCUACUACCGAUUGAAUGGUUUAGUGAGAUCUUCGGAUUGGCGCCACUGCGGCUCGGCAACGGGCUCGGUGGAUGCCGAAAAGUUGAUCAAACUUGAUCAUUUAGAGGAAGUAAAAGUCGUAACA
rnacentral:rRNA from 1 species